rnacentral:rRNA from 1 species
UGGGGAAUUUUGGACAAUGGGCGAAAGCCUGAUCCAGCAAUGCCGCGUGUGUGAAGAAGGCCUUCGGGUUGUAAAGCACUUUUGUCCGGAAAGAAAUCCUUGGCUCUAAUACAGUCGGGGGAUGACGGUACCGGAAGAACAAGCACCGGCUAACUACGUGCCAGCAGCCGCGGUAAUACGUAGGGUGCAAGCGUUAAUCGGAAUUACUGGGCGUAAAGCGUGCGCAGGCGGUUUGCUAAGACCGAUGUGAAAUCCCCGGGCUCAACCUGGGAACUGCAUUGGUGACUGGCAGGCUAGAGUAUGGCAGAGGGGGGUAGAAUUCCACGUGUAGCAGUGAAAUGCGUAGAGAUGUGGAGGAAUACCGAUGGCGAAGGCAGCCCCCUGGGCCAAUACUGACGCUCAUGCACGAAAGCGUGGGGAGCAAACAGGAUUAGAUACCCUGGUAGUCCACGCCCUAAACGAUGUCAACUAGUUGUUGGGGAUUCAUUCCUUAGUAACGUAGCUAACGCGUGAAGUUGACCGCCUGGGGAGUACGGUCGCAAGAUUAAAACUCAAAGGAAUUGAC